GCGCCCGUGGUAGCUCAGUUGGCAGAGCGGUGGGAAGGUACCCCACGGUCUCGGGUUCAAGUCCUGGCGGACGCU